rnacentral:rRNA from 1 species
GAUGAACGCUAGCGGGAGGCUUAACACAUGCAAGUCGAGGGGCAGCAUAGGGUAGCAAUACUCUGAUGGCGACCGGCAAACGGGUGAGUAACGCGUAUGUAACCUACCCUGUACAGGGGGAUAACCCGGAGAAAUUCGGACUAAUAUCCCAUAACAAUAUCCGGGGGCAUCUUUGGAUAUUUAAAGUUCCGGCGGUACGGGAUGGGCAUGCGUAACAUUAGCUAGUUGGUAAGGUAACGGCUUACCAAGGCUUUGAUGUUUAGGGGUCCUGAGAGGGUGGUCCCCCACACUGGUACUGAGACACGGACCAGACUCCUACGGGAGGCAGCAGUGAGGAAUAUUGGUCAAUGGGCGCAAGCCUGAACCAGCCAUCCCGCGUGCAGGAAGACGGCGCUAUGCGUUGUAAACUGCUUUUCCAGGGAGAGAAACUUACGCACGUGUUGCGUGACUGACGGUACCCUGGGAAUAAGCAUCGGCUAACUCCGUG